AUUGAACGCUGGCGGCAUGCCUUACACAUGCAAGUCGAACGGUAACGGGCCUUCGGGUGCCGACGAGUGGCGAACGGGGGAGUAAUACAUCGGAACGUGCCCGAUCGUGGGGGAUAACGAGGCGAAAGCUUUGCUAAUACCUCAUACGAUCUACGGAUGAAAGCCGGGGAGCGCAAGGCCUUGCGCGGACGGAGCGGCCGAUGGCAGAUUAGGUAGUUGGUGAGGUAAAAGCUUACCAAGCCGACGAUCUGUAGCUGGUCUGAGAGGAUGAUCAGCCACACUGGGACUGAGACACGGCCCAGACUCCUACGGGAGGCAGCAGUGGGGAAUUUUGGACAAUGGGCGCAAGCCUGAUCCAGCCAUGCCGCGUGCAGGAUGAAGGCCUUCGGGUUGUAAACUGCUUUUGUACGGAACGAAAAGCCUUCUUUUAAUACAGGAGGGUCAUGACGGUACCGUAAGAAUAAGCGCCGGCUAACUACGUG
rnacentral:rRNA from 1 species